UGUGGUUGUAACAGGUUUCAAUGAGGCUAGCUUGAAUUUUCUCUCGGAUGAGAUGGCAAUCAAUUUAGAUGUGCUUGGUAUGCAUCGUAGAAACUAGGUUGGCGGUAAUAUGUAUUGUAGGUUGACUAUCAGAAUGAAUAUUCAUAGUAUAAGGAGGGCCACAAAAUUUCGUAAGUUGUCGAAGAUAGAUAUAUUUUUCUUCGGCUGAGAAAUUGUGGAUUGUUUAUUCUUAGACUUCCAAGAAAUGAGACU
rnacentral:lncRNA from 1 species